GAUCAGAUGGAGCUGGGGAGAACCAGAUUGGAUGGUUCCUAGGACUGUAGUGCACUGGUGGGGGAGACCCAGGAAAAGAGAGUUACCCUGGAAGGGGUGGCACUGUUUGACCUUGCUAGAGGGACAAGUCACUACACAAACACUGAGGUCCAGAGGAGGAAGCAGAGGGGCUAUGAUGCUGGAGUUUGUCACGAGGAAGCGCUCUGGAACAAUCAGCUCAGCUCCAUCUGGAGACUAAAUGUGCUCAAGAGGAGCCCCCUUGCUAAAAAAGGCCUUAUGAAAACUUCUGGUGAAACAUUCUUAUUUCUUAUCCUCAAAACAGCUACUGCCAUUCAUUCAUCUUGUGAACUAAUCACUGGCACGAUGCUGUUUUGAAAUAGCUAUUUCUGAGUUAUCUGAAUGUAAAACAUGUUGCGAUGAAUUCCUGUUUAUGUAUGUAUUUGCACAUAAUUAAA